UGCAAGGCUAUGUCAAUGAGAAAAGGAA
rnacentral:piRNA from 1 species